UAUCAGAGGUAAAGAUGGUUUAGA
rnacentral:piRNA from 1 species